AGAGUUGAUACUCGUGGAUGUAGGCAAGCUCUAUCAAACCAUGUUAAAAUUUGAGUGCCUUCUUUUUCUUCUUUUUUAUCUUCUUACAUUUAUUUUCAUGUUAUCAAAGCGGUAGCGAUCCAUUACUCAUCGUUUUUCUUCAUUGGCCUUCAUCCAAUUGCAAUCUUUUGUCGAAACUUUUGCAAAAGGUCUAGCAAGGUUCUAUGGAAGCACUCUGCUGCGAUCUGUCAUUAUCGUUGCAGUUUCUUUGACCUGGUGAUGCAAGAGCCGAAUAUAUCUUGCUAUAUUUUUUCUAGAAGAUUGAUCGGAAGAAACUAUGUUCUUAACAUCUAAAAAUUUCCUAGAAUUUUUUUUUGGUUGCGGCUUAUUAUAGGUUUGUAGAUUUGCCAUUCUUUUUCUGGCAGCAAUUCGCGUCGUCCUGUUCAUUUUCUUUCUGUGAUCCAGGGAACAGAUAUUGGGCGGAUAUUUUUUUCUUAUUUAUAUAGAUUUAGUGGUGCUACUCGGAGGUUUGUUGUGUUCUAAGCAACGUUCUCCUCUGUGAAUUUAAAGCUAAUAAGGCUCUGCAACUCGUCUCUGCAGUGAAAGUUUUUAGAGCUCUUCCCUCAAGACAAUUUGGUUUCAUCGUGUUGACAACAUCUGCUAUGAAAGAAUGUUAGGGGUAAAGUCAUUGGUUUCUUUUACUAAAUUGACUUAAACUCCCUUUCCAUUUGUUUUUGUUUUGGGUUGCGUUUUCAUUGCAGAACUGGUGGUUGUGUACAUCAGUGUUUGGAUCUGAGAUUUAGUUUUGGUGGAGGUGUUACUCUUUGUUAUUUCUUGGAAUUCCUUUUUUUAUUGUUGCCUUUGUCAUCUUCAAUCAGGUCAUUUUUUUCUUAUGGUUGAUAAGGAUAGUAACUCUAAAUCUUCCAUACAUGAUUUUAAGUCCAAUAGUAGUAUUAAACUAACUACUACCCCGUUCAAUGGACUCAAUUAUAUUGCCUGGUCAAGGGCUGUAUCUUUGACAUUGGGUGGAAAAUCUAAGUUUGGGCAUGUCACUGUAAAG
rnacentral:lncRNA from 1 species